GACGGAAGGUGCAAGCGUUGCUCGGAAUCACUGGGCGUAAAGGGUGCGUAGGCGGCUGUGCAAGUCUGGCGUGAAAGCCCCGGGCUCAACCUGGGAAUGGCAUUUGGGACUGCAAGGCUUGAGUGCGGCAGAGGAGACUGGAAUUCCUGGUGUAGCAGUGAAAUGCGUAGAUAUCAGGAGGAAUACCGAUGGCGAAGGCAGGUCUCUGGGCUGACACUGACGCUCAUGCACGAAAGCGUGGGGAGCAAACAGG
rnacentral:rRNA from 1 species